rnacentral:pre_miRNA from 1 species
CAUCCUGUUGGAGAUUAAAUUGACUCUAGUAGGGAGUUUUGAAUAAAUAUCUCCCUAUCUGGAAUCAAUCUGAUUUCUGAUCUCAGGACAUUCAU